CUUGGAAAAUGCACUUAGAAGGGGCAAGAAAGAAGUUGUAGCACUGCCUCCUGGCCAUUCCCAUGUGCAUAAAAUUUCAGCAGCAAGCCAGGCUCGAGCAGUAAGCUCUUCNUUGGUUUAUUCGAAGGAGAUGAAGGGUUAUGUUCUACAUAAACUGCAAAAACUCUAUCAAGCCCAAUCUUGAUUAUAAGUUUGUCGAUUAAAGAAACAAACUUGUGAGUCCCAUAUGCAAUGAUAUCAGUGGAAACAUCAAUGGUAUUCAACGAAGAAGACCCUUCUUGGGCAAUGAAGUCUGGAACAAUCCAUGAUGGCCAUGUAUCUUCUUUCCUCAGAAGCUGGUCUAACAGAUAUUGUUCCUCAUAUUGAUCACAGCAGAGACAAUCAAGAACUUCAAGCAUCCAUUUGCAGCACAAAGAAGUGAUGCUAUUCGCAUUAAGCUUACUUCCUUGAAUACAACAGAC
rnacentral:misc_RNA from 1 species